rnacentral:rRNA from 1 species
UGCAUAUCCAAAAAGCGGAGGAAAAGAAACCAACAGGGAUUGCCCUAGUAACGGCGAGUGAAGCGGCAACAGCUCAAAUUUGAAAGCUGGCUCCGGCCCGCAUUGUAAUUUGCAGAGGAUGCUUUUGGCGAGGUGCCUUCCGAGUUCCCUGGAACGGGACGCCAUAGAGGGUGAGAGCCCCGUAUGGAUGGACACCAGACCUGUGUAAAGCUCCUUCAACGAGUCGAGUAGUUUGGGAAUGCUGCUCUAAAUGGGAGGUAAAUCUCUUCUAAAGCUAAAUACCGGCCAGAGACCGAUAGCGCACAAGUAGAGUGAUCGAAAGAUGAAAAGCACCUUGAAAAGGGGGUUAAAUAGUACGUGAAAUUGUUGAAAGGGAAGCAUUUAUGACCAGACUUGCGCCGGGCAGCUCAUCAGGGGUUCUCCCCUGUGCACUCUGCCCGGCUCAGGCCAGCAUCGGUUCUCGUGGGAGGAUAAGAACAGUGGGAACGUGGCCCCCCUCCGGGGGGGUGUUAUAGCCCAUUGUACGAUACUCUCGUGGGGACCGAGGUUCGCGCUCCGCAAGGAUGCUGGCGUAAUGGUCAUCAAUGACCCGUCUUGACCCCGGGACCAACG